GGUCCCAGGUCACCCAGAGAGAGGAGUGCGGAGGACCCUGGGCCCAGGCAGGCUGUGGGCUGUGAGGCAGGCAUCUGGGGCCUCCCGGGGUAGGAACAGUGGGGACCGGCCAGCAGCAGCUGUGCCGGAGGCCUUGGAGAGUCCGUCCUGCCGUCCUCGGGGCAUCAAUGCCCCCACCUGUGUUCACUGGGGUGGCGGCUGCCCGACGGGAGGGGCGGCUGGAUUCUGGGGUGUUGGGGGCAUUGGGAUGGGGCGACGCCCUGGCUGAGCAGGUGAUGAGUCUGCUGCAGAGUGAGCCGCCCAGCCGGGUCCUCCAGCUUCAGGUCAUCCCACUAGAGAGGGUCUCUGGGGACGAGGACACGGUUCCCUGCCCCCACCGUGGCACUGUGCUCAGCUGAGCAGACCCCGAGGGGACAUUUCUGAGGUCCAUCGCGUCCACUCUGAGAGCCCUCCUGCCUCAUGCAGAGCUGGCGUCCUCUCAGGCCUCUAGCUUUCACGCGCCCACUGACGGGCGGAUCACUACCUUCCGGGCCAUCCCUCGCUUGCCCAGGUCCACGGCAGCUCCCGGGGGCAGCAGGCGGGACCAUUGCCAUCUGGGCAGGACACCAAAGUCGACAAGGUAAGUGGCCAUUUUCUUGCACCUACAGGUUUUACCCCAAUUCUGUUCUCAGACUGCCCCCAUCUUCCUUCCUUGUACCAAGUAACCCCUCUCCUCCUUUACCCUCCAGGGCCAGGGUCCCGAGUCCCCUCACCACGUGCCUGCCUCUCCCUCCCUCCCUGUCCGCACUGUGGGAUGGCUCCAGGCUGCCUCUGGGCUUGUGGGGUGGGCCCAGCACCUCUCGGGGGUCCCGCUAACAAGCCCCUUCUCCCCGCUGACAUCCCUGCUGACGACCUUCCUCUGGGUGUUGCCUCUAGAAACCAGGCGGCCUCGGCUGGCAGCCCAUAGGGGCAGGACGCCGGCACAGGGUCCCAGCACCGCUGUCCGCCUCGAGCUGGGGCGGGCGCAGGCGCCGGUCUCCCAGACAGACACGCACGUGCCCGUCUUGCCAAUUAGGGCCCGAGGCGCCAUGAGAUGGGCUUGUUAGCACAGCACAGGGGGGGCCAGCACACGGUACGGCGGGUCGAUGCGGGAUGCGCCGCCCGCCUGCAUGGACGGCCCCCCACCUCGAGGAUCGAUGUUCCCCCCACCAUGGGGCUGAGGCGACAGCGGAGGCCCCCUGAGGCUCGGGCCCAGCGGUAGGCAGCCUCCCAGCCCGCAGGUCGGCCCUGGCAGACAAGACUGGACCACGUCCCCGAUUUACAGACACAGAGACCGAGGCUCGGAGACUCUCCUUGGCUGCCCAGCUCCCCUCAGUGAGGCCAGGGUGCACAUCUGGGCUCAGCCGGGCCUGGAUCUGGGUGCCCAGGGCCCCCGUCCAUCCUGGAGGCUUCAGAGCAGACAUCCAGCUUGAUGCAGAAGGGGUGGGAGGGAAGGGCAACGCCCUCCACCCCCUUUUACAGAGGGAAGAACUGAGGGCCGGACGGGGCCUUUAGCUGCCCAGUGUCACCGGCCAGUGAGCAGAGAUGCUGAGACCAGAGCCCAGUUCAGGGGCAUCAGGUACAUACACAGUGUGGUCACGCUGGACAGCUGUCACCAUCGUCCGUCUCCAGAACUUUCCAUUUUCCCAAACUGAGACUGUCUCCAUUCCGCACGGAUGCCCCUGCCCCUCCCCCAGCCCCUCGCCCCACCCCCUACUUUCUGUCUCUGUGACCCCAGCUCCUCCAGGGACCCCAUAGGAGUGGACUCCCAGUAUCUGUCCUUCUGUGUCUGGCCUAUUUCACUGAGCAUCACGUCCUCAAGGUCCCUCCACAUUGUAGCAGGGGUCAGAGUUUCCUCCCUUUCGAAGGCUGCGUGAUAUUCCAUCGUGUGGAUGGACCACGCUGUGUUCAUCCGUCAUCCGUCGAUGGACACUUGGGUGGCUUCCACCCUUUGGGCUGCUGUGAACGUGGGGGUACACGUAUCUCUUUGUGUCCUGCUUCCGAUGCUUUUGGGUGCAGACCCAGAAGUGGGAUUGCUGGAUCAUACGGCAGUUCUGUUGUUCAUUUUGGGGGGAAACUCUGUACUGUUUUCCACCAUUGUGUUACCAAUUUACACUCCCACCAACAGGGUGCAAGCAUUCCAAUUUCUCCACAUCCUUGCCAGUGUUUGCUAUUUUCUGUAGAAAUAUAUAUAAUGUUAUUAUAUUAAAAAUAUAUACUUCAUCCUAAUAGGUGUGACACGGCCCCAUUUGAUAUUU